AUGCAUAAAAAAUCUCUUGAAAGCUUAGGCCACGAGACAACCUCAGACGUGGAGAGUAUUAUAAGUCAAGAGCGCUCCGUAUAUGAGGACACCCAUGACCAAACUGAUACAACCUUCGAUCAAAAUCCAUCCGUUUUAGAAUCACUUACUCAGUCAUUGCAAGAAAUUCAAAGGGGACUAGCGGCCGUGGAAUCACAGGUUCGGGCAGAAUCAAGCGAGGAACCGUAUUCUGCCCAGGAGAGCCUAUCGAUUCUGGAAUCUUUAGUGCAACCCAUAACAGAAAUCCAACGUGGAUUGGAACUGGUGGAGCAGAAGAUCAAUGAAGAUUGCGCGACCGGUGAAUACUCUGCCGGCAAGACAGGCAUUGCCAUUCUGGAAACUCUAGCACAGCCCAUCCGUGAGUUUGAAAGGAGUCUAACGUUCGUGGAACAGCAGCAAUUCCAGCAGCAACAUUCGAUGACGGAUGGGUCGGAGGAGUCUUUACUUGAGCGGACAAACCAAUCGAUUCUUGAAUCCGUUGCGCAACCCCUCCAGGAGUUGCACCGAGAAAUAGCUCUCAUUCAGAAACAGGCUGUAAUGGAGACCGAUACGGAAUCAUUUUCCGGCAUCGUUACAUCGUUCCAACCAUCCAUUCGUGAUGUCCGAGGAGGUGUUGAACAAAGCGUUACAACACUGAAAGAUGAUGUCUCUGAGCUAUCUUCGUUCAGUGCUUUGUCAACUGUUGCUCAAAGCUUGGAAGAAUCCAUGAGAAACGCAGUGACAGUCGUUGAGCAAGAUGUGCGAUAUAAUGUCCCAUCUCAGAUGGAGGCUGAACUUGAUGAAGAUAUACCCUUGACCGUUAGAGAAAUCGAAAAAGAAUUCUCAGAUUCAGACGAAGCUCUUAAGAAUCUUUCCAACAAAAUUGAUCCGAUCCUCGAAGAGCUCGUUAAUCACGCAGAGACUCUACAAAACUGUUUAUCAAAGAUUCAAGGAAAGCAGCUCGAAUUGUCAAAUAAAAAGAAACUACGACAAGAAGAAGCAAUGCUUAACCAAUUUAUCCCUUUAAUUGAGCCACUUCGGGACCUUCAAAGUGUCUUAUUAAAUUGCAUCUCUGAGGUAGUAUCAAAUGAAAUAAAUCCUUUCGAAUCAGAAGAGGUUGCUUCGAAAUUGACAGCAUUAAUAGCCAAUCCCCUUAAAGCUCUAAGGGGUUGUAUAGCAGUUCUGGAGUCUUACACCGCAGUAUUGGACGGUCCAGAGUUGGUUUCUCAAGGCGCAGUAUUACUGAACAGACUAGCGAAUCCAAUUAAUGAUUUAGACACGACCAUAAAGUUGGUCGAACAUCUGUCCGCAUUUACAGCAUUGGAUUACAUGAUUUUACCCAUCGAAGCUUUGGUUGAUGCAUUAGAUAAUAUCGAUUAUGAUGAAGUUUCAAUCGAAGAUAUUGCGAGAGAAGGCUUGCCUCUGGUUAAGAACUUGGAUGACUCCGUUGAAAUACUUAUCAACUGUAUUAGAACCAUUGAUAAAUGUGCCUCAGCUGAAACAUCCUUUGUGAAGCAAAAGAAACUUAAAUAUUUUGGAACUUUACUAGCGCCUCUGAUAAACUUCCAAGAGGAAUUGCACAAGCUUGAGCAAACCUUCGCCGAUGAAUCAAAAUUGAAUCAGGUAUCAGGGCUCAGGUAUAUCAACUAG
rnacentral:lncRNA from 1 species